GACGAACGCUGGCGGCAUGCCUAAUACAUGCAAGUAGGACGCAGUUGCGAACGUGUGAGUAACGCGUAGGUAACUACCUAUUAGAGGGGGAUAACUAUUGGAAACGAUAGCUAAUACCGCAUACUAGUAGAUGGACCUGCGUUGUAUUAGCUAGUAGGUAGGGUAAUGGCCUACCUAGGCAUCGAUACAUGGCCGACCUUAGAGGGUGAGCGGCCACACUGGGACUGGGACACGGCCCCGAAUCCUACGGGAGGCAGCAGUAGGGAAUCUUCGGCAAUGGGGGGAAACCUUACCGAGCAAAGCCGCGUGGUGGGAGAAGGUUUUCGGAUCGUAAAGCUCUGUUGUUAAGGAAGCGGUACUUAACCAGAAAGGGACGGCUAACUACGUGCCAGCAGCCGCGGUAAUUC
rnacentral:rRNA from 1 species